rnacentral:sRNA from 1 species
UUCGACGCCAUCCCGGUGACCAUGACGAUGUCCUCCAUCGUGAUGAAGGCAGAGAGCAGAGACAUCCCGAUCUGGGGAACUCUGAUCCGGUAUAUACGGCCUGUGUUCGUGUCCCGGUCAGACCAGGAUUCUCGCAGGAAAACAGUAGAAGAAAUCAAGAGACGGGCGCAGUCAAACGGAAAGUGGCCACAGAUAAUGAUUUUUCCAGAAGGAACUUGUACAAACAGGACCUGCCUAAUUACCUUCAAACCUGGUGCAUUCAUCCCUGGAGCGCCCGUCCAGCCUGUGGUUUUACGAUAUCCAAAUAAACUGGACACCAUCACAUGGACGUGGCAAGGACCUGGAGCGCUGGAAAUCCUGUGGCUCACGCUGUGUCAGUUUCACAACCACGUGGAAAUCGAGGUUCGUAUGGAUACAGAGUUACACAGCGCUCUUCACAGUGGUUGAUGCAGACACGAGGUUACACCAGGAUGCCCAGAUAGCCUUGUACACUGUGACAUAUCAUCUGUCUUGCUUUCCCAUCUUUCCAUUUCUCAGGGCCCCUUC